CAAUAGCGUAUAUUAAAGUUGUUGCAGUUAAAAAGCUCGUAGUUGGAUUUCGGGGCAGCCUGGCUGGUCCGCCGCAAGGCGAGUACUGGUCAGCCGCCCUUCCUCUCGAAAGCCCCGACUGCUCUUUAUUGCAGUGGUCGGGUAGUUCGGGACGUUUACUUUGAAAAAAUUAGAGUGUUCAAGGCAGGCCUACGCCUGAAUACAUUAGCAUGGAAUAAUGGAAGAGGACCUCGGUCCUAUUUUGUUGGUUUCCAGGACCGAAGUAAUGAUUAGGAGGGACAGUUGGGGGCAUUCGUAUUUAAUUGUCAGAGGUGAAAUUCUCGGAUUUAUGAAAGACGAACAACUGCGAAAGCAUUUGCCAAGGAUGUUUUCAUUAA
rnacentral:rRNA from 1 species